rnacentral:lncRNA from 1 species
AUGUCAAAAUUUGGGGUAAGAGUCUCAUCUAUCCUAUGUGGGACUUGGGUUUUUCCCAAUACACCUCCCUCACGCCCAGCACUCUUUGAGCUUGGUGCAUGAAUAGGUAGGUGACCCUUGAAUUUGACAAGCUAUUAUACCAUGUUGAAAUUUGGGGCCUAACUCAUCCUUACAAAACCAACUUGUAAGGUAAGAAUUGCCUCCUCUUUAUAAACUGUCAUCAAAAGUCUUAUUUAUCCGAUGUGAAACUUGGGUUUUUCCCAAUAUGUUUCUUGAGUUGGUAGAAUAAGAAAAUAAACACCAAUUGAACACCAAUUUCUUACGUUGUGAGAGUAUUGCACCUUCCAUUAGCCAGAACAUUUGUAGAUAUGUUAAAUUGUUAUGUUAUUCGUUCAAAUUAUGUUCCUUAAGUUGGUAGAACUCAAAUUAUGUUCAACUUAAGAGCGUACUCGUUCUUCAACAAGAUAGUAGUAAGAAUUUUUUAAGGGUGUGUAAAAGAUGAAUGUAAAGUGAGAGAAAAAAUAAUAAAUCCUUAGAUAUUGGUUCAAAUGUGCUGUUUGUAAUAUUGGUCUCGUGAAAAUUAUAAACUAUAAAAUAACUUACUUUUAAUUUGUUUUUAAUCAAAUUACAUCAUAAGUCAUUUAAGUUAUUUAAUAGUAAUCAAUUAGUUUAGAGUUUUUUUUCGUACCACUUAUAUCAUUUAAGUUAUUUUCCUUCAAACAAAAUCAUUUAAUGUAAUUUAAUCUUUUUUAGUUUUAGUAUAGUUUUGUUCCAAUCGAGUUGAUCAGAUUUUAGAUGUCU